UGGAUUUGAAUGGGACUUUCUCCAUAAGUAAAAAGAUCUAGCUCCUUGUGCUCUGUACAUCUCAAGCUUUUUGCCACAUCUAAAAUUGACUUGAGGUUUGCAGGAGGAUCCCACUGAACAAAUUACUGGUGAUUCCUUCACUUUCAUAGGUAAACGAUAAAGGAAGUAGCAGCAUGUUGGAACCUUUGGUGUCUCCUCGAUUGGAGAGAGCAUUGUGUUGUCUGAUGUGGAACUUUCCCCUUGAUGUGCAUACACCUGCACAAUGAAAAGGUUUAGGUCAGCUUCUUUGGACAAGUCAGCAGGUUGACCAAAUUUGACCAGAUCCUUACCUUAUAUGAAGCGAAGCCAUCCUACUUGACAACUUAAUGAACUUAAUGCAUUCAGUAUAUUAUUAAUCAAUAUACUUAGUCACUUUACUAAUUAUUUUGUAACUUCUAAAUCCAAAGCCUGUAAUCUGGAAUUUGAUUUCUAAGCAGCAAUUGUAUAUAUACGAGCUUCAUCGUUGUGGAUAGGAGCAACAUGAUGGAUAGAAAUACAUCAGAGUUAUCAGCUAAAGACAAGUGUCAUCAAUAACAUAUUGCAUUGGUUUUUGUCUAUAACUUGAUCAUUAUUUCAUUUGUAGGUUAAAGUUACAUUAUCUGUAAAAUGUGAUCUUACUGUAAAAUAGUUUGGAAUCACUUUUCCUAAAGGAGCACUCUGUAAUCAGAUACAGACAUGAAGGUCAACACAAUAAUCAAGAUGUUAGAAGAAGAUGCUGAUUCCUUUGCAAGGAGAGCAGAGAUGUACUACAAGAAGCGUCCAGAGCUCAUGAAAUUGGUGGAGGAACUUUACCGAGCAUACCGUGCAUUAGCAGAGAGAUAUGAUCAUGCAACAGGAGCACUUCAUCAGGCUCAUCGAACAAUGGCAGAGGCAUUCCCUAGCCAAUUCCCGUUGGUGAUGUCAGAUGGAUCACCUUAUGGUUCUUUUGGAAAUGAGGCAGAACCUCACACACCUGAAGUGCCACCGGCCCUUCGUGCGUUAUUUGAUCCUAAUGAGUUACAGAAGGAUGCAUUGUGCUUGUCAUUAGAUUCACAUGUACUUAGAAGAAAUGGGUUAUAUUCUGAACAAAGUAGUUUAUCUUCAAGAAACAAGGGUUUGAAGCAAUUGAAUGAGAUGUUUGCAAUUGGGGAUGGGGCAGCACGCAUGACAUCUGAUGGGAGAGCAAGAAAAGGACUAAAUUUUCAGGAGGAAGAGGGAGAAAGUGUUGACAAUAACUCAAAAUUUUGGCCUGUAGAAAACACUAAACUUAUGGAGAAACAAGAUUCAAGCUAUGUAGCAAAAGGUCACCAACAAGACAUUUCCCAGUUAUCAGCUGGGAACCAUAAUCUGAAGAUUCUGAUAAUGGCAGAAUCUGAUCGUUCUAAUAAAACAGAAAAUGAGCAUCAAGGCUUGAAUCGUACUCUCUCUAAAAUGAGCUCUGAGAAGGAUGCAGAUAACAUUCAAUACCAAGUAUCUCCUGAAAGAACCUCAGUUCUUGAAUCUUGUCUCUCUGCCACACAAAAUGAAUUGAAUAAACUCAAUGAUGAAAUGCUGAGCAAAGUGAAGAACCUGCAGAGUUGUGAAGAACUUAACCAAUCUCUAUCAAUGGUACUAGAGAUGCUAAGAAAGAAAGCAGAUAUGCAGGAGUACAAACUUAUUCAGAAUCAGCAGGCAUUAGAAAAAUUCCACAAUACAAUUGAAGACAAACACCAGAAAUGUAUGCUGGCUGAGAUGGCUGUCCUCUUGGAGGAAAAGCUGCACACUCAAUCUCAGGAAGAGGUAAAUCAUUUGAGUCAAGAAAUUCAAAGAGGUAUCAAUGAGUUAAGGGAUAUGGAGCUGUAUAGUAUAGAUCUCCAGGAAAAGAUAUGCAAGCUUAAUGAUGAAAAUGACAGAUUAAAUGAACAAAAUCUUCACUCUAGCUUGAUGAACAAAAUGCUCCAAGACAAGAUCAAUUUGUUGGCUGAGAAAAAAAGGAUCCUUGAAGAUGAAGUUGGGCUCCUUGUUGGCGAAAAGGAAAUCUUUAUUCAAGAGCUGUGCCAUAUUAAAGAAAUUAGGAAUGACUUGGAAGUGAAACACCAAGAACUUAUGGAGGAAAAGGUAGCUGCCAGGAUACAUGCUGAGUCCCUUGAAACAGCCAUAAAAGAUUUGCAAAAUGAAAAUUCUGACUUGAAAGCUAUCUGCAAGAAGUAUGAAGCUGAUUUUGUGGAGAAGCUGAGAGAGAGGGACGAUAUUUUAAAGAAGAACACAGCAUUGGAAAGUUCACUAUCUGAUGUGCACAUAGAGUUAGGAGUUGUAAGAGAAAAGAUUUUAGCACUGAAGGAAUUGCACGAAUCUCUCAACAGAAAAAUUUCGACCAAUAUUGCUGAGAAGAAUGUGCUCAUCUCUAAGGUAGAAAUUCUUUCAAAGGAUGUGGAUACCCUUUCCAGAGAAAAAACCCUCUUGGAGAACUCUCUUUUUUGCUUAAGCACUGAACUUGGGUGUUUGAGGCCAAAGUUGAAAAUUUUUGAAGAAUCCUAUCAGUCGCUCAGCGAUCAGCAUUUUGCUCUUCUUGCUGAAAGGAACAGUCUUCUCUCUCAGGUAGAGAGCCUUACUCAGAAUGUGGAGAAGCAUUCAGAGAAAAGUUUGAUUUUGGAGAACUCACUAUCUGAUAUAAGCAGCGAAGUUGGGUAUCUGAGUUCAAAAUUGAAGGACUUUGAAGAAUCCUGUCAGUCUCUCAGUGAUCAGAACUCUGGUCUUCUAGCCAAGAGAAAUUCUCUUCUUUCUCAGGUAGAAAUUCUAACUCUGAAUGGGGAAAAGCUCUCAGACAAGAAUUCCUUCUUGGAGAAGUCCCUGUCUGAUAUGAACAAUGAAGCUGGGAAUUUGAGGUCAAAGUUGAAGGAAUCUGAAGAAUCCUGUCAGUCUCUCAUUGAGCAAAAGUCUGAUAUCUUUGCUGAAAGGAACACCUUGCUUUCUAAGGUAGAGAUUCUUAUUCAGAAUGUGGAGACACUCUUAGACAAGAAGUCCUUCUUGGAGAAGUCUCUAUCCGAGAUGAGCAAUGAAGUUGAGUGUUUAAGGUCAAACUUGAAGGAUUCUGAAGAAUUCUGUCUGUCUAUUAGUGGUCAGAACUCUGGACUUCUUGCUGAAAAGACAGCUCUUGUCUGUCAGGUACAGUUUCUUACUCAGAACAUGGAGAAGCUUUCACAGAAAAGUUCCGUCCUGGAGAACUCCCUAUCUGAUGCAAACAAUGAAGUUGGAUGUUUGAGGUCAAAGUUAAUAAACCUUGAAAGUUCCUGUAGUUCACUGUGUGAUCAGAACUUCUGCCUUAUUUCUGAAAGAGGCACUCUUCUGUCCCAGGCAGCGAUCCUUACCCAGGAUAUAGAGAAGCUUUCGGAGAAAAAUUCCUUCUUGGAGAACUCAUUAAUUAAUGCAAGCAGUGAAGUUGAGUGUCUGAGGUCAAAGUUAAAAGUCUCUGAAGAAUCCACACAGUCACUUGGUAAUAUGAAGUCUGUUUUUCUUGCUGAAAGGGAGAAUCUUCUAUCUCAAUUAGAGAUUCUUACUCAGAAUGUAAAUAAGAUUUCAGACAAAUAUUCUAACCUGGAAAACUCUCUAUCUAAUAUAAGCACUCUAGUUGGGUGUCUGAGGUCAAAGUUGAAAGACUCUGAAGAAUCUUGUCAGUCUCUUCGCAAUCAGCACUCUGGUCUUCUUGUUGAAAGGAACACUCUUCUUUCUCAGGUGGAGGUUCUUACUCAGAAUGUAGAGAAGCUUUAUGUCAAAAACUCAUUCUUGGAGGACUCCCUAACUGUUGUAAGCAGUGAAGUUGGGUCUUUGAGGUCAAAGUUGAAAGACUUAGAAGAAUCUUGUCAAUCACUCAGCAACCAUAACUCUGGUCUUUUUGCCGAGAGGAACAAUCUUCUAUCUAAGUUAGAGAUUCUUUCUCAGAUUGUAGAGAAGCUUUCCUACAAGAAUUCCUUCUCGGAGAACUCCCUAUCGGAGGUAAGAAAUGAAGCUGUUUUUCUGAAGUCAGAGUUAAAAGACUUAGAAGACUCCUAUCAGUCCCUGCGUGCUCAGAACUCUGGUCAUUUUGUUGAGGACACUCUUGUUUCUCAGGUCACUCUUUCUCCCUCUCCCUCUCUCGUAUAUUAUCUCUUUUUAAGCAAUAACUAUUAUUUCUUGUCACAUGAUAGCAAUUUUCCAUUUUUACCAAGAUAUUUUUCCAUUCUCAGAUUACAUUGAUUUUCAUGUUUGCAUGCUAGGUAGAAAGAAUCACCCUGAAUCUGAUAAACCUGGAGAGUAUGUUCACUGACUUGAAGGAUAAGAACUUGAAAUUAACAAGAGAAAGAGAUUUUUUAACCCAUCAGGUCAAGGAUCUACAAGAUCAUCUGAAGCUAGAAAAAGAAGAGCAUGAAACCCAUAUUCAAUCAUACAAGAGUAGGAUAGCCACAUUAGAGAACCAGAUCUUUCUCCUGCGACAGGAAAACCAGCUUAAAGAGGAGGAGCUUGAAGCAGAAGAAAAUAAUCUGAUUGGUGCUCUGAUGGGAAAUUUUAUCUUGCAAAGAAGUUUGUUUGAUGUAAAUGGAAGGAACUUGGAUCUUUCCAUAGAAUGUCAGAAGCACAUACAGAAUUGUAAUAGUGCCGAGACAAUUAUUUCAGAACUUGAACAGGAAAAGCUCAUGCAUAUCAACAACAUACUGUUAUUGUCGGAGCAAAAGGAGAAUUUAAAUAAUGGAAUUCAUUUACUCUGGAACACACUUAUUUUUGACAAGGACUUUGGUAACUUGGAUGAAAUCCAGGAUGAAUUUAAUAUUAUCUUGACUGAAAUUAAAAAGCUGUUGAAUUUUACCUCAGAAGCCGAGGGUGAUAAUCAACAACUGCAUAUAGAGAUAUCAGUGUUUGCCAC
rnacentral:lncRNA from 1 species